rnacentral:rRNA from 1 species
AUUGAACGCUGGCGGCAUGCUUUACACAUGCAAGUCGAACGGUAACAGGUCUUCGGAUGCUGACGAGUGGCGAACGGGUGAGUAAUGCAUCGGAACGUGCCCAGUCGUGGGGGAUAACUAUCCGAAAGGAUAGCUAAUACCGCAUACGAUCUGCGGAUGAAAGCGGGGGACCUUCGGGCCUCGCGCGAUUGGAGCGGCCGAUGUCAGAUUAGGUAGUUGGUGGGGUAAAGGCUCACCAAGCCAACGAUCUGUAGCUGGUCUGAGAGGACGACCAGCCACACUGGGACUGAGACACGGCCCAGACUCCUACGGGAGGCAGCAGUGGGGAAUUUUGGACAAUGGGCGCAAGCCUGAUCCAGCAAUGCCGCGUGCAGGAAGAAGGCCUUCGGGUUGUAAACUGCUUUGUACGGAACGAAACGGCUCUGGUUAAUACCCGGGGCUAAUGACGGUACCGUAAGGAAUAAGCACCGGCUAACUACGUG